rnacentral:rRNA from 1 species
CACAGACAGCUAGGAGGUUGGCUUAGAAGCAGCCACCCUUUAAAGAAAGCGUAAUAGCUCACUAGUCGAGUCGGCCUGCGCGGAAGAUGUAACGGGGCUAAAUCUAGUACCGAAGCUGCGGAUCUCGUAAGAGAUGGUAGAGGAGCGUUCUGUAAGUCUGUGAAGGUGAAUCGUAAGGUUUGCUGGAGAUAUCAGAAGUGCGAAUGCUGACAUGAGUAACGAUAAGGGGGGUGAAAAACCCCCCCGCCGAAAGAUCAAGGUUUCCUGUCCAACGUUAAUCGGGACAGGGUGAGUCGGCACCUAAGGCGAGGGCGAAGGCCGUAGUCGAUGGAAAAUCGGUUAAAAUUCCGAUACCGAUUCUUACUGCGAUGGAGGGACGGAGCAGGCUAGGCUAGCACGGCGUUGGUAGUCCGUGUUUAAGCGUGUAGGUAGGGGGAUUAGGUAAAUCCGGUUCCCUGUUGAUCUGAGACGUGAUGACGAUCUCUUGGGGCGACCCUUGAGAGAAGUAGUUGAUGCCAUACUUCCAGGAAAAUCUUCUAAGCUUCAGGUAAGAAUUGACCGUACUGUAAACCGACACAGGUGAUCAGGUAGAGAAUACCAAGGCGCUUGAGAGAACUUGGGUGAAGGAACUAGGCAAAAUGGUACCGUAACUUCGGGAGAAGGUACGCUCUCUUUGGUGAUCGGACUUGCUCCGUAAGCUGAGGAGAGUCGAAGUGACCAGGUGGCUGCAACUGUUUAUUAAAAACAUAGCACUCUGCAAACUCGUGAGAGGAAGUAUAGGGUGUGACGCCUGCCCGGUGCCGGAAGGUUAAUUGAUGGGGUUAUCUUCGGAGAAGCUCUUGAUCGAAGCCCCGGUAAACGGCGGCCGUAACAAUAACGGUCCUAAGG